UCACACUCACGCACCAUACCCAUGCUGUUCCAACCUUCAUGCCCUCGUCCACAGUUCCAUGCCGUCGACCCAUGAAGUUACACGAUCUGUCCUGGCAGAGUGCAAAAUACACUUCACAGCACAAAAUCCUCACUUGAGAACUUGCGGACUCUGUCUGAAAUAUGUUCACGUCACAGCCAACUUCAAGUUUGAAACAAAAAUGUGAGUAU